rnacentral:rRNA from 1 species
CAUGCAAGUCGAGCGGACAGAAGGGAGCUUGCUCCCGGAUGUUAGCGGCGGACGGGUGAGUAACACGUGGGUAACCUGCCUGUAAGACUGGGAUAACUCCGGGAAACCGGAGCUAAUACCGGAUAGUUCCUUGAACCGCAUGGUUCAAGGAUGAAAGACGGUUUCGGCUGUCACUUACAGAUGGACCCGCGGCGCAUUAGCUAGUUGGUGGGGUAAUGGCUCACCAAGGCGACGAUGCGUAGCCGACCUGAGAGGGUGAUCGGCCACACUGGGACUGAGACACGGCCCAGACUCCUACGGGAGGCAGCAGUAGGGAAUCUUCCGCAAUGGACGAAAGUCUGACGGAGCAACGCCGCGUGAGUGAUGAAGGUUUUCGGAUCGUAAAGCUCUGUUGUUAGGGAAGAACAAGUGCGAGAGUAACUGCUCGCACCUUGACGGUACCUAACCAGAAAGCCACGGCUAACUACGUGCCAGCAGCCGCGGUAAUACGUAGGUGGCAAGCGUUGUCCGGAAUUAUUGGGCGUAAAGGGCUCGCAGGCGGUUUCUUAAGUCUGAUGUGAAAGCCCCCGGCUCAACCGGGGAGGGUCAUUGGAAACUGGGAAACUU